GCGCGGGCCCUCUGACUUGUCAGCGCCAGAGUGUGAGAGCUUCCUUCCAUCCCAAGGCUGCCUGGCUAGGCAGGCACUGGCAGAGGCGAGCCGGGUUCGGGUACAAGAAGAAAGCAGGUCCUAGAGUGUAGGCCAUCUGUCUUGAGAGGACCUCAAAACCCCAGAGCACCCAAGUUCUCCACAGAAGCAGAAUGGUAGAUUUUUGCAUGAAAUCUUCCAGUUAGUUUGCAGUGGCUUCUUGUUGUUGUUGUUGUUGUUGUUUUUAAGGGAGAGCUUAAGGGAAGAUCUUGCAAUGCAGUCCAGGCUAAUCUUGAACUUGCUAUCCUCCUGCCUCAGCCUCAAGUACUGGGAUUUCAGGUGUGUGCCACCACUUCUGGCCCUCCGCAAUGACUUUAACACCAAAUGGUUUUGGAACACAGUGGGAGCCAGACCCUCGGCCGAAUGACACCUGUUGGAAGCUGGCACUUGCUGGAUGGUCCCCUAUGGCCUUGACCACAAGCCAGGUGAAACAUUCUCUGAUCCCUACCAUCAGCUGCGGUGCAUAGAGUGUAUGCCAUGCUUCCCUGAAAAUGCCAGGAAUCUGUCUCCUCCUGGAAGCCUUCCCAGAUUGCCAGAGCUCAUUCAUAAUCCCUUUUCUGAGCCAGCCUGGGGCUGGGGCUCCUCCUGCCUUUCUUCCAGAGCUCCCUGGCUGGGGUGGGAGCUUCUAGGCUCCUCUUUACCUGCCUAGGAAGAAAGCAGAACAGCAUCAAAGCUUCUGGCUCCUUCACAGAGAACCUAGCACUGGGCAUUUAAAAGUUCAUUUCCACCACGCUGCAUGGACAGGACGCUCACUUCCUUCUGAGUGGGCACAGCUCUGAUCUCUGUGGAGCCUUCCUAACCAGUGAGUCAAAAGGGAAAGACUUUUGACACUCGGGGUGACUCCUGAGCUUCAGACAAACUUGAGUGAGAAUGGAGAGGUGGGCGAGGGCCUCCAGCUCCAGGCCAGCAGCAGAAACCUGACGGCUAAUUGAUGCUCAGGAACCACAGCCGGAGUUAGACCAGCUUUGCCCUCGCUGAGCUUCUACCAUGCCUCUGAGUCAAGGGGAGGAGGGGAUCAGAAAUGUCUGUCGGAUAUCGGAGACGCACAGACCAAUACAGCUGUCAACAUAAACCAGUGACCCCACUCCGCCCCACCCCCACCCCACCUUCCUCACACUCACCAAGCCCAAUGCACCUCUAGCUUCACCCCAGGGCCUUUGCACACGCUCCACCCUCACCAUGGCAAGUUCUAAGACCUCCCGUCUGACUGGCCUUCUUGGGCCUUCAUUCAAAUGUUCCCCUCCUGAAAUGCCGUCUGUGACUCCCCAGUUCAAAUUGUCUUCCUUGUCCAUCAUGGUGUUUCUAGUCACCCGUUUUGUUUGAAGGCUCUUGGUCUUUUCUGAAGCUCCCCUGCCGUGAGCUUGAUUACUAUUCUUUGGUGGCAUUUGCUGCCUUUUCUGAGUUGUUGUUGUUGUUGUUGUGCUUUUUUCAACUAUACGUGUAUGCAUGUUAGUUUCUCUGUGCGUGUCUGUGCCUGUGAGCACAGGUGCUUUGGAGGCCAGGGGUAUGAGAUGCCCCUGUGGCUGAGUGACAGGUGGUAGUGAGCUGCCUGGCAUGGAUGUUAGAACUCACACUCAAGUCCCCCGCAAGAGCCACUGAGCCGCAAGUCUCCAGCCCCGUCGGUCUGGCUUUGUACCUCUGACGUCCCUGCUGAUGCGACAUGGGGACCACAGCAGCUGCCUGGUGCUGCUGUAGAACAAAUGAGUGAAUGAGCUGAGCUGAGCUCAGGCCAGAUGCUGCAGAUCCAGGCUAAAGGUAUCCGCUCCAGGGCCCGAGCACCCGGCUGUCCCCAGCCUCUGCCCGGGGAGGGAGUGCCAGCAUCUCUACCAUGUGUUGGACCAGGGCAGGGAUCCCAAAACCAUGCACAGCCUGAGAGCCGAGAGAGUCAGAGACUCUAGGCUAACUCCUCCAACACUCAGUAGCCUAAUAAAAGCUCUGAGAGGACCGGAAGCCCCCAAGUUCUCUUACUCCUACUCCACCUGGGAUGGGCUGGGGGGCGCUCCAAAGGCUUCUGGAUGACAUGGCGUCUGAAAGCCGACUAGCAACUGUGAACACCGAGCCCCAGGUUUUCUCUUCAUACACAGGCAGUGUUACCAACCUGGACCCCUCAAGGGCCUGCUCCUGUGGCAUGGGAUUAGAGAGCCCAGGAGCAAGACUCACUUACAAAGCAAGGUCACAGUACUAUUACUAAGGACACAUUCCCUGCUAGGCUCCUGCAGGAAAUCUGAGGUGGAUCAGGAAGAGGAAAUGGGAGCUGAGGUAUAGGAACCUCUGGUGGGUGGGUGGGUGCCUCUGAGGACUAGGACUAGGGAUACAGAACCGAGCUAGGUCACGGCAGGGAUGUGCCUGGGAGCCCCACGACAUGCACCUGCCUCCACACCUUCACUAGCACCUGUGAGGAGGGAUUCUCCUUCCCAUUGUACGGCUGAGAAAACAGAGGGAAGCCGUUUGCCCAGAGCCAUGGACCCCAGCCCAGUCUGUGACUCCUUCAUCCACGUGUCUCUGUUGUAUUGCUGCAGCACCCCACUCUUGCCCUGGCAGCCCCACAACACAGAGUGUUAGCUGCCCAUGCCACCCUGCAGAGGCAGAGAUGGAGCCUCAGAGAGGUGGUAACCACAGCCCUGAGUUCUCACGGCUGACGGACUCGGCCAGACCACUCCUCUACACUCACGUGGUGUGUGAACACCACUGUCCUCACACAUCACAUUUCUGCAGCUUUGAACUCUGGUUCCCCUACUAGAGGGACAGAGUGGGGACACCUGCUUGUGCUGAUACCCACGGCAGGGUCUCCAGGGAGAAAUGUCAGCUGUCUUCCCCAAUCAUAGCUGGUACUGGUGAGCCCUGUGCCAGGAGGUGAGCCCUGUGCCAGGUUCGAGACCCAGACCCUACCAUCAGGGAUCCAAAAUGCAUACAAGAGGCAGAGGCCAGAAGAGUGUGGGACAAGUGUCGGCAAUAAGUUUCCUUACUGCCCUGCCCACUGCCCACGACUCCUGCAAGGUGGUAUCACAGCUGGUACUGGGGAGGAGGAGUGGGGUAGCCUACACACCUGACCAGAUUCAAGACCACAGGGUAAGGGUGACCAAGAGGUCCCAGACUCCGCAGGUGCAUGUGUGCCCUUUCUGCACAAAACAGCCUCCCUCACCCCCAGCUCCUCACGUGCUGUCUUAGAAAUCACCCCGAAGAUGCAGUCAGAUGCACCCAUGGGAGAGCUAGGUGCAGUGGCCAGCAAUGUAGUGGAGGGGCAUUAUGUCUUCUCAAAGACAUUACCCAUGUACUGGGUAACACUUAACAACUCUAAAGGGCAUGGUCAUUGGUGCCAUCUCCCCAGGGUUGGGAAAGCUCAUAGCUAGAAGAACUGUGAAAAAGAGCCUCACGACCCCCCAAGGCCCCUCCAUGGCUUCUCUGACCAACUUGAAUACUUGCAAGGAUGGGGUGCUCACAACCUCCUGAGGGCACAGAUGGGAACAAAUCCUACCAGAGGCAAGUGACCAGGUUCCUGCUACCAUGGACAGUCCAGGGACCCCCCCCCCCCCAACCUGCUUCAUCGUCUCUGAAAUGUGGAUAAAAAUGAAGCCUUGGAGGAGCGGAAGUACCAAAGACAGCACGAGGGCCUUGGGCAGUGAAGUGGAGACAGGAGACGGGCUAUUGGCCAGCCCAAGCCAUUUGGCCCCUGCCCAGAUGAUGAUACAACAGGCGGGAAUCAGACCCAGGUUCAGCAUGACUCAGCUGCCCUGACCAACCCCUGAGGUCCACCCCUCACACUUGUCAGCAUCAAAACAGGUGGGUCGGGGCAAUUGUCACCACCACAAGAUCAGAAACCCAGGCUUCCAGACGCAGAACCAUACCGUGAGAAAUGGGCUCAGCUGGAGAUGGCCACGCAACCCAAGCUCCAGGGACCAAGGGAACUCAUUCCAAAAGAGGAGUGACCACAGAGUGCCGCUCAGGACACCAGCCUGACUGGAACCCAGGCAUCCCCUCUGAACCCAGGAAGGGGGCCAAACAGGUCAAGAUCUGACAGUAGGCAAUGCCUAAAGGUCACCUCCCUUUGCUAUGCCUUUUGCAAAGGAGGUCUUCCAUCCCUUUUCCCUGCACUUGAAAUUCUAAAGAGAAGCCCCAGAUAAAUGACGGUAACGCUAACUGUGAUGUCAUCUCUCCCGAAGACCGCAGAACACAGGGAAUCUGAUGACCCUUGGCUGUGUCAGAAUGGGCUGCACCCCACUGCUACUGAGCAGCUGUGAGUCAAUGAACAUAAGCAAUGAACUACUGUAAGAUUUCUAUUGCAGACAGGUAACAUCUGAGGGGCCAUGGGAGUUCUAGGAGGGCAAGGUCAGCAGUGAUGUUCUUCAGAAAAGGAGGACCAGACACCGUAGAUGGCAAAGACUGUUCAUCAUGGAGUCUGUUGGUCUACCGCUCACUGCUGCUCUCCUCCCUAUGCAAGAGUUUCUGUGCACCCGAGGACCCCAGAUGGAACUCUGAGGAAGACAGCCUCAAAGCAGGUGGCUGUUGAAUAAAAUUGAUUGGCUUUCAAGUGACACACAGUGGGGAAGAGUCUGGAAGUAAGGCCCCGGGUCUUAGGAAGCAGAAUCGAGUCCCAGACAGGACAAUUCUCAGAGCAGCAACCAAGACCCUCUCAAUGGAAUAUGUGAGGGUGUGGGCUGUCUAAGGAUUGGAGUCUUCCCAAUGACAUCUUUGAUAAGGGGCAGACUGUUGCUCUGGGAUAAAGUCUCUGCUAUUCCCCCAAAGAAGGUUCCAGAAUGGUACCAAUAACAGCGGGGCACUUACGGAACUGGGAAUGAUGCACUUAAAAUCCCAUGGCUCCCUCAAUCCUCUCAAGAUGCCAUUUUCACUCUUGUUUUAAAACCAAAGAAAGGCUGGGCAGCAGUGAUGCACACCUUUAAUCCCAGCACUUGGGAGGCAGAGGCAGGUGGAUCUCUGUGAGUUCCAGGCCAGCCUGGCCUACUGAGUGAGUUUCAGGAUAGCCAGGACUACAAAGAGAAACCCUGUCGCAAAAAAAAAAAACAAUAAUAAUAAUAAUAAUAAUAAUAAUAAUAAUAAAUAAGUAAAUAAAACAAGGGGUAAGGUGGCUAACACACGUGUCUAAAUUCACACAGCUGCCAGCACUGAGAAGGAACCAGGCAGCCCCACAUUCCUAAUCACCUAUGCAACCUAUCCCAGGGCACUGCCAUCCUGGGAGAUGGAGAAGGUCUGGGAAGAUGGGGAUGAGGCCUGCUUUCCCUGAGCCCCAGCAACAUGUGACCACCCCCUUCACUCCCUACAGGCCCUCCUGGAGAUUCGGGAAUCUUCAUUCUCUAUAAAUGAGACUCAAGGCAAGGAAGUUACUUGCCAGAUAUGGCGGCACAUAUUGGUAAUCUUGGCACUUGGAAGGCUGAGGCAGGAGGAUCAUGAGUUUGAGGCCACUACAUAGUGAUAUCCUGUGUGGGGGAAAAAGGCUGGGGAGAGGAAGGCUGAAGAGGAGGGAGAAGGGCAGUGAAGAGAGGAGAGGGCCUUUUGCUCAAGGUCACUCUUCAAGGGUCAAGCACCCCGAGUAUCUGAGCAGAGCUUCCUGAGGCCUCUCAAAGCUGCAGCAGCAUGCUAACUACGCAUUUGCAGCCCAUGUUGCCCCAUGUUCCAGCAACAACCCUUACAAGAGACGGGUCUGGUUAUUUCCAUUCACAGACAAAGAAACUGAGGUCCAGAGAAGCUGUGGUCUUGGGCAGUGUAAUAUGAGUCUCUGGUGCCCACCUACUUUCUGCCAUGGGAACUGGGAAUCCAGGCCGAUAUUACUGGAAGGAAGGAAGAGGGCCGAGGUCAGAAGGGAGGGAUGUAGAGGCUGGAAGGCCAGUCUUCUACCUCACCAUUUUGGAGACAAAGUAGCCCUGAAACAGGGAAGGCAGGCUGAAGCUAUUAGCCACAGAACCCUGGAUGCGUCAGGGGACUAGAGCUGGCCCUAGGAGAGCCAACCCCUAAUCCCCAGCCCAUCUCCCAUUAAUGUGUGAGGACUGCCUGCUGAUGGUGGAUGUUGGGCCAGCUUCCCGAAGUAAGGCUCUUAUCUCUGCCUGCCUGGAACUGCACUCCACACAUCACCAAGGCCAGUGCCAGCCCAGAAGCCUGGUGCCCAACCACGCUCCCCUUCCUGCCGACACACAGAUCGGGCUAGUCGGGGCAGGCUGACUUGUUCCAGUGUCCAGCUCCCCCACAGGCAGUGGAGAUAAGAAAAAGUGACGUCUCUGGCUUCGGUAUGCCCAUCUGUCCAAUGGGAGCUAGAGAGUCAAAUGCUAACUUCCCAUGAUUCACGUGCCGUUCUAAACGUAUUCACGUUAAUUCUGCCAUGCUCAGAGAAGCCCCCAAAGAUAUAGUUAAAGGUGAGGAAUUAGAGGCACAUGUCCAAGCCCGCACAACCAGAAAGGGGUACCGCCAAGUUCUCUUUGAGCAAACCUGCCCAAAUCUCAUCACCAAAUGCAUGGGCUUGCCAGUGUCAGGGAAUGGGCACAUGCCCUCCAACAACUAGCUUAGGACCCAGACAGGGACCUCCUUGCUUCCCGAGAGAGGCAGAAAAAGACAACGAUGAGACCUGGAGCCCCAAAGAUUUGGAUCCCUCGCUGGGGAAGCCUCCUCACCCAAUUUUUUCUCUCUAAAGGAAGUACUGAGCCCAGCAUGGAAGGGUUAGGAUUGUUCCAGGCUGGGAUCCCAGGGAACCUGGAGAGUUUGGGGUACAUGGGACCCAGGAUUGUGUCUCAGACCACCUCACUCCAGGCAGGCCAGUGGUUGGCAGCAGGCUAACCUUAGUCCCUCUCCUCAAUAGCUCAGACCUGACCUCAGACUCUAAAAGCUCCCCAGGGGCCCCCAGAAAUUCCAGCUGGGGAUGGAGGUCCAGAGCCUGGAGCAGGGACAAGCUCUCAGCCGAGCCAGGGACGGCUUGCCAGUGCUCCACCCACUGCAUCUGAGAGGUCCCUUUGUGCCAGCUCUGCCCCACCCCCUACUUGCCAUCUGCCAGGUCCCCGGAGGCUGCUCACCCUCGGCUGCCGGGUGCACUCACAUGAUGCCCCCGUCUGAUGUGAGUCAGAAGGCAAGGGCCACCCUGAGGACCAGGAUGGGAGUAUGAAGCCCUACUCAAUCUUAGGAAAAGGAUGCAACACUGGGGUGUGGGUCCUGUGUCGACAUACAUCCCUCAACCUCCCGACUAGGACCUCUAACACCCCUCUCAGGGCCCUGCCCCUUCUCCUACUGCCUAGAAGCUCAUCCCACAUCCCAGUGAGGGCUCUGUAUCCACUAGACAGGGUCACCUACAGUGCUCCUACACCUACCCCUCCCUUCACGGCUGUCCGGCCCAUGUUGCCGCCUACCCUUGUCAUGCAGGAUCCUGACUGAGCGGGCCAGCCCCACAGAACACACGACCCCAUCACAGCUCUACCCGCUCUCUUCUCUUCCCUUCCUGGCAGCUGGACUCACACCUCUACUCCUUCCUCCUUAGCCAGGAAGCCACCCCUAAGCCUGAGGCUCAAUCUAGCAGCCAGGGCAGCGUAGCCAGGCCAGACCCACAGCACUCAUCCUCUGCCCUUCCCACCCUGCUGCCCAGUCCUCUCACCCUGCCCCUGCACGGAAGACUGAGACCCUCUGGCAUGACAUCAGUAGGCUGAAGUGACCCACGUCAGGCGGCAGUUCUGUGGCUGGCUCAUGCCUCCCAGCUCUCAUUGUUCCCCUAAACUCUUUCCAUAUUACAUUCUCUGCCAUGGACAUUCCACCCAUCCAUUCUCAGACACGGCCCCUCCCCCUUCCCUUCUGCCCAGUUCAGAGCCCGACUCACUCCUCCUUUCUCACAGACCCCUAGCCCCUGCUAUCUCCUCUAGUCCACUCAUCUCCCUCUGGAAUCACACCCCCUAACAGGAUGGAGAUGCCACACACAAGCCACCUCAGACAGCCUUCUAAUCGAAUACCAGGAGCCAGGAUCCCUCUGCUGGGAUUUUGGAGUCAAGUCGUUGGCCCAGGAGACAGAGUGGCAAAGGUACCCCCAUGCCAACUUAGCAACCCAGAGAGAGGCCAGGCGAAGCGGCUUUGACCAAGGUGGGCUGUAUCUCAAGUUCCUGGGGCUCCAAUAGCAAAGGGAGAUAGUCUGGCCCCAAAAGCUAGUACAGUCUUUGAACGGGGCAGGGAUGGCCACCCAAGGGCCGGUCUGAAUUCGGGGGACCCCUCAGUAGCAUGCAGCUCCCGAUGAGAGCUGCCCCUUCCCACAGUCUCUGACUCCUAGGGGCCUGCAGGGAGGGGGCCACCUAUACGUUCCAACUGACCUUACUUGCCUUAUUGCUCACUGUGCCCCUAGGACAGUAGGGAGCGCUCAGUAGGCAGAGUGAACGCUUAAGAUAAGCAACCUCCCUCGGCCUUCCGAAGAAGGCACCUGAUUUUCCCACCAUGUCACCCAUCCCUUGCCACAGUUGCCUAAGGGGGAAGGGGACAAAAGGGACUCUGCUUCUACUCACCCCACCCCCUCAGUAAAAUGAGCCCCUUGGAGGCCCUAACAGUCACCACCAGAUGGCUGGUUGGAAAGUGGGGAGGACAGGAACCCCAGCCCCAUUUCCUACACCAGGGGAAGGGGGACUAAGGUCCUAUCAGGCCCAAGCAGCUGGGGGCCCUGAGGUCUUGUGGUUAAUGGGUGAGGAGCGCUUGGCCCCUCAGCCUAGCUUCCCAGGACCCUCACUCCAGGUGCCUCCUGUUCAGAGCAGAUGCUGUACCGUGCCUUCCUUCCUGGGUUUUAAGUUGUUAGACGGCCCUGGUUCCCUGGGGGCCUCCGUCCUGUCCCUAAGGGAAGCCAUGGGGGAGGCCAGCUUCAGGGGCACCGUACCAAGUCCACCACAGUGCCCCUCUUCUGCAGCCAGAGCCUGGCUCUCCAUCUCCGGACUUGCUGUGUGACCUCAGGCAAGCCGCCUGCCCUCUCAGAGUCUCCCUUCUCCCACACUGGCGAUAGGAGCAGACAUCUCUGUAGCCUAGGCAGGCCUUGAACUCGAGAGCCUCCUGCCUCUACCUCCCCAAAUGCUGAGAUUACAGGUGUGUGCCACAACACCUGGCCGAGAACAGAGACUGAAAGGCCCAGAGCGCGGAUACCACACUGCUGGGCCCAAGACUGGACCAUUCGAACAGCAAAUGGCUCAAAACGUUCUCUUCCUCUGACCCGGUUCCCUUUCUGGCAGCUUCCAGUUUACACACA